rnacentral:snRNA from 1 species
GGUGCUUGCUUCAGCAGCAGCAUCAUAUACUAAAAUUGGAAUGAUAUGGAGAUUAGCAUGGCCCCUGCACACGGAUGACAUGCAAAUUUGUGAUGCAUUCCAUAUUUUA